AGAAAAGAAACAUGAGUUUAAGUCAGGAUUUGGCCAAAUGCCGAAAGAAGAAAAGAAUUAUUAUUAUUAUAUAUAUAUAUAUUUUUUUUUUUUUUUUUUUAAUAAAUCAAUAAUGAAUACUAAAUAGAAAUUAAAAGAAUAAUUAAGAGAAAAAUAGGGAAAUGAUAAUAAUAAUAGAAUAAUAAAAUAACAAAUUAAUUUGUGGGUUGUCUCCCACUAAGCGCUUUGUUUAAAUGUCGCAAGCUCGACAAAGAAACUGUUAAAUAUAGUCUAUGAGUCCUGGGGGCGUUUCGUCUAAGUGUAGAAUUUGCGAAUCCUCGUUGGUUUCCGCAUAGUGAUAAUGUUUCAGACGUUGCCCGUUUACGGUGAACGGUUCUGUAGAUUGUCCUUUUAUUUCUACCGCUCCACUGGGAAAGAUUUUAGUGAUAUGAAAAGGUCCUG
rnacentral:lncRNA from 1 species